GUGCAAUUUUGGGUCAAUUUUUACCAUUUUUGGGUCAAUUUUGGCCCAUUUUGGGUCAUUUUUGACCCUUUAAUUUUUGGGUUAAAAUCGUCCAUUUUUGGGUCAUUUUGGGUCAAAAUUGACAUUUUUAGCAACGAUUGAAUCAAUUUGUUCAUUUUUGGGUCAAUUUCUGCCAUUUUUGGGUCAAUUUCUGCCAUUUUUGGGUCAAUUUUGGCCCAUUUUGGGUCAUUUUUGACCCUUUAAUUUUUGGGUUAAAAUCGCUCAAUUUUGUGUCAUUUUGGGUCAAAAUUGACAUUUUUAACAUCUACAUUAAAUAUUUGUUCAUUUUUGGGUCAAUUUCUGCCAUUUUUGGGUCAAUUUCUGCCAUUUUUGGGUCAAUUUUGGCCCAUUUUGGGUCAUUUUGGACCCUUGAAUUUUUGGGUUAA
rnacentral:lncRNA from 1 species